GGGCCCGCACAAGCGGUGGAGCAUGUGGUUUAAUUCGACGCAACGCGCAGAACCUUACCAGCCCUUGACAUCCCGUGACCGGCCCAGAGAUGGGUUUUCCCCGCAAGGGGCACGGAGACAGGUGCUGCAUGGCUGUCGUCAGCUCGUGUCGUGAGAUGUUGGGUUAAGUCCCGCAACGAGCGCAACCCUUGCCUUCAGUUGCCAUCAUUUAGUUGGGCACUCUGGAGGGACUGCCGGCGGCAAGCCGGAGGAAGGUGGGGAUGACGUCAAGUCCUCAUGGCCCUUACGGGCUGGGCUACACACGUGCUACAAUGGUGGCGACAGAGGGCACAAGCGAGAGCGUAAGCUUUAGCAAAUCCUCAAAAGCCAUCUCAGUUCAGAUUGCGCUCUGCAACUCGGGCGCAUGAAGGUGGAAUCGCUAGUAAUCGCAGAACAGCAGGCUGCGGUGAAUACGUUCCCGGGCCUU
rnacentral:rRNA from 1 species